GAAUUCUCAUCUUCUUCAGCUGUCCAAACCAGGAGAGAAAAAGGGGAAAAAGAAAUAAGAACCCUAGCUGAAAAAAUUUGAGGAAAAUCAAGAGAAAUCAAGAAAUCAAGCAUUAAAAAGGUAAAUUUCAUUGAUUUUCUUUGUGAUUAUCACUAACCAUGCAUUUUUUUCUCAUUUUCAUGCAAAAUUAGAAAGUGGGUAUGGACACCCAUGCUGGCCAAACCUCCAUGGAUGAGUUUUGAGCUUGAGUUUUGGUUGAUUUUAAUUGAAUUAAGUGAUUUUAGUUGGCUGCUGAUCUUGAUGUUUAUUUGUAGGAAUUAUGAUGAAUAAUGAUGAAUUAUGAGUCUAGAAAAAUAAUGGGAAUAUUCGGAGCAAAAUAUAAAUUUUUACCCACUAGGGGUAUUUUCGUAAUUUGCUAUCGAGACUGAUAAUUUGCACCACACUGAGGAACAUUAAGUCAAUUUGGGUGCAAUUGAGGUAUAGAAAUUGAAAAAAAUUAAUUUGGAGUUUACACGGACGCGUAUAUCGAUUUAUCAGAUAAAAGACCGAAAUAGGCUAACAUCUCGUUUAGGCAAAAUUUAGACAUUUUGCACUUCAUAUCAUGCAUUAGUAGUAUAAAUUAGUUUAUUUUGGUUUAGUACCAAAGUAGUAAACCUCUUAAUUGUACAAUUUGUCGAGGUGGCGAAUCCUUUGACAAGGGCAAAGAAAUCGCACUCGAUGAGUAAUAGUUGGAGUACCCGAAUUUAGUUUUCAGAAACUGUGAGUAAACUUAUUAUCGUCUUAAUUAUCUAGAGUAGUUUUAUACAAUUGUGUGAUUUUAUGAAAAAUGAGUUUAAAUGGUAAAUUGCUAUGUUUUAAAAGAAAUUGUGAUUUUAUAAAAUGAUUUUAUAAAUUUUCUGAAAAAUUGAAUAUUGGUUUUGAAAAUAGAGUAAUUGGAGACUACCUGCUUGUGUUGUAAAUUUAUGGUUUUAAAUUGAAUGGCUUAUGACAAUAAAUGAGCAUGAAUGGCUAAACUGAUUUUGGUGUUAGAAUUAUUUGUACUGUGUAUUUAGCCUUGAGAGGCUAGGUUGUGAUAAAUUGCUACGUCAUGUAGAAAAAGAUUUUAUAAAUCAGGUGGUAGAUAAAAGAUUAGCUACUGCAGUGGUGGGGGGUUCCGUG
rnacentral:lncRNA from 1 species